GCACAUUCAAGGCAGCAUGCAGACCACAGGUCGCAGCGCCGCCGUCGACCACAUGUGCGCAUGCGUGCGAUUAUUGCAUGUGUGCGUUAGGUAUGCAUCUCAAUGCCUCCGCCCUUCCUCUUUCCACGUAGCAUAUUCUGAAGAAAAAAAAUAGAUGCUUUCAACUAAAUAAAAAAAUGCGUCGCACAAGUUCAGGUACAACCGCUGCAGGACUUCAGAAAUCUGAACAAACAAAGCUCAAACCAAAAGCUAAUGUGCGUGUCAUGUCCAAACAAAGCUCAAGCUACAUGCACCAGGUUGCCCUUUUUUUUAUACAGUUCAAUAUCUAAAAUCCGUUCAGUUUAAUUAUUAUGCAUCGCCCUGGCAACACAUUGCGCAGCCACCGACCUCCUCUUGUUGGGUCACACCACCACCGGCCGGUCCACAAUGGUUGCUGGUAGCCGUCCAAGUUCAGAGCUGAUGGUAGUCCCCUGCAUGCGUCAACGACACUCUCACGGUAGUCUUUCUCUCGCACUUUGCUCCUGCUAUUAAAAUGCGUACAUGUGUUCUGCUAAUUGAGUAGUUGGGAAGAUGUGAAAAAGAACAAGCUCUUUAGGUGUUCAGUACAAUUUAUUAUUUUAAUUCAGUUCAAAAAACCUUAUUUUAUAACCCUGUAAUAUACAUGGUUGGCAAAAAGAUGGCUAUAGUUGUUAUAGCAAAAACAGUACAACUUUCUAAAAGUUUAUUUUUUGAACUUCUCCCAAUUAAUAUACUGAACUUGAUUAUCUUUUUAACAGUACUUGCAUGAGCUCGUUGGAAUUUGUGCGUGUGCUUGUAACACAAUCAGUUCAGAUCUCGAGAGACCAUAAGUUUGUUGACAAAUAUGUAUAUUAGUUCAGAUCUUGAGAGACCAUAAUUUUGUAAGGUCAGAAAAAGCAAUGGCUCAGUACAUCAAAAUUUUGUAUAAUUGCUGCUUUUGAUGUCUUGUAGUGCAGAGAAGGCUUAAAAAAUCAUGUUUCUCUAGCUGAAAUGUUUGAUGCUAUGUAGGUUCUUGUUAGGACUCAGGGCAUGAGCUCGUCCAGCAGGGGUGCUGGCAGCCGUCCAAGUGGAGCGUUGACACCAGUACAAGUAGAAUCGCGGGUCAUGGCCACCAACUUCAUCAAGUGCUGCACAUCCGUCCAAGUCGAGCACGCUCUGGGAGAACACCAGCGCCUUUGCUUUGCACAUUGCUUGGUCAUGCAUGAUUGCUGAUGGAUGUAGCAAGCGUUUUAUUAGUUUGAUCUUCUGUAUUUUGUCUCAGUUUUCGUGGAUGCUAGCCGGCAAGUGACAUGAUUUUGGUUGCUUCUCUCUGUAGCAGAUUCCAUCCGCACAAAAAAUGCUACUUCGGUUUGUUCUAUGUAAAAAAUGAAUAAGGUUCAAUUCACAAAAAAUGUGGAUGUUUGCUUGGGAAAUUCUGCAGUACAUUUGAUUACACCAAGAUGUACAGAAUGACUAAUUCUUUAUUGUGUGCCUUCAGCACAAUUUAAAAUUACUAGUUGACCAUAUGUAUAAUGGGUUUUCUUUGUCUACAGAAAAACUAAUAUGUGAGGAUAUCUCAGGUUUCUGUGUGAACUUGUAGUGUGUUACUAUACAUGUACUUGUAUGUAAGGAAU
rnacentral:lncRNA from 1 species